rfam:Homo sapiens chromosome 20, GRCh38 reference primary assembly.
GCCGGGCGUUUUGACAUGUGCCUGUAGUCCCAGCUACUUGGGAGGCUGAGACAGGAGAAUUGCUUGAACCCAGGAGGUGGAGGUUGCAGUGAGCCGAGAUCUCGGCUGCACUUCAGCCUGGGUGACAGAGUGAGACUCUGUCUCAA